AGAACAGCAAGCCGCUCUUUCACAGAUCUUUAGAAGAGCUUUAAAAGAUGCCGAGCCGCUCUUUUCCAGAUGUUUAGAAGAGCUUUAAAAGAUGCCGAGCCGCUCUUUCCCAGAUCUUUAGAAGAGCUUAAAAAGACGGUCAUGAUUCUACAUAACAACAUCCGCUUGACCUCGCAAUGCCAAGAAGAAGAAAGGCGUGGAACAUUUGCUUAAGGUAUGUAGUAAUAAUGCAUUUAAAUAAUAAACUGUUUGGUGUGGGAUCAUUUAAAUAAUACCUCGAGAUUGGGUUGAUAACAGUUAAUCAUGCUUUAAUAUUGAUAUUUCGCCCACCUGUCUGACGUUAAUUUAUUUUGAUCGUUCAUGUAAAUGAGUCUUGUGUAAGAUUCUAGAAAGAUAUAGUGGCUAACUUGAUUAAAACGAUCAGUAUUAUGGUUGAUAUUUGUAUUGCACUUGUUAAAAUUUGUUUUUGCCCCCAUUUUUCAUUUCAUGAGCUGAACUUAAAUAUUUUCUAUGUCCCCAAAAGGCCUAUUUCUCUCAAAUGUUAUUCCCAAAUCUGUCUAAAUCUGUGUAAGGGUUGCGUUUAUAAUUGUGGUUAGUGUGUGUGUAAGGCUCUGCCUGUGAAAACACAUCUAAAGUCUUUUUUGUGAUGUACUGUUUUCUACAUAAAAUCAUCCUAAACAAUGAAAAGAACAUUUUGUAAAAAUAUCUUAUCUUUAAUAUUGGCUGAGUAAGAUUCUUUGUAUAAACCCUCAGUCUGUUAAUUUUGUCUCCAGCCUGUCAAGAUCUUCAGCAGAUGUUUGAGCAAAAAGUCAUCAUCCUCUUCGUCACUCUUCAUCCGUAUUUGGGGUAACAAGCACCUGCUUCCGACUGGACAGCUGAUGUCAGACCUGCACCUUCCUUGAACAUGUUGGUAUCUUACUCUGUAUUUGUUCACGGUGGUCACCCCAGGGUCUCAGGACUCAAAUUGAGUGCUCUAUGGAUUAAACAGAAAAUGCAGUAUAAACAAGUGUUAUGUUGUCUUGAACAUGUUGGUAACUUACUCUGUAUUUGUUCACGGUGGUCACCCCAGGGUCUCAGGACUCAAAACGAGUGCUCUAUGGAUUGAACAUAAAAUGUAGUAUAAACAAGUGUUAUGUUUUUAAAUGCCACUAAUAAUGUGUUUCUGUUUUCUUUCUCAUUAUGCUAACAAACACUCUUUUACCCCUCAUGUUAGGUAGAUCAACACUCCAACCAUCUGCAUUAGGGACUGAAUAAAGGAUGCCCUCUGUAGCUGGGAAUGUUAGAUCAGGCGGAUCAACAUUCCAUCCAUCUGCAUUAGGAUCUACCUUAGAGACACUCACUGGAGCUGUAAAUGGGAAGCAGGUCACUUACUUUGCAUUCGUCCUUGGUGGUCACCCAAGGGUCUCUAGAGUGAAAAUUACUCAAUCUAUGGAUUAAACAGAAAAUUUAGUUGUAUGAAGUGCAAUUUGGGACAUUCUUCCAGUUGUCGGCAACUUUGUGAAAAAGGCUGGAAACUUAAAUGCAGAAUUCUGGCCUGGUGUUUGGUCUGUGCUGUCUUUGGCUCUUGCAUCUCCAUCAUCCUGACCCUCUUUAGCAGCCUGUCCAUGUAUUUAUUUGGAGGCCACCAUGAGCACCCAUCUGCAUAAUAUGACUUUGUUAC